GGGUUGUGAGGUUAAGCGACUAAGCGUACACGGUGGAUGCCCUGGCAGUCAGAGGCGAUGAAGGACGUGCUAAUCUGCGAUAAGCGUCGGUAAGGUGAUAUGAACCGUUAUAACCGGCGAUUUCCGAAUGGGGAAACCCAGUGUGUUUCGACACACUAUCAUUAACUGAAUCCAUAGGUUAAUGAGGCGAACCGGGGGAACUGAAACAUCUAAGUACCCCGAGGAAAAGAAAUCAACCGAGAUUCCCCCAGUAGCGGCGAGCGAACGGGGAGGAGCCCAGAGCCUGAAUCAGUGUGUGUGUUAGUGGAAGCGUCUGGAAAGGCGCGCGAUACAGGGUGACAGCCCCGUACACAAAAAUGCACAUACUGUGAGCUCGAUGAGUAGGGCGGGACACGUGGUAUCCUGUCUGAAUAUGGGGGGACCAUCCUCCAAGGCUAAAUACUCCUGACUGACCGAUAGUGAACCAGUACCGUGAGGGAAAGGCGAAAAGAACCCCGGCGAGGGGAGUGAAAAAGAACCUGAAACCGUGUACGUACAAGCAGUGGGAGCACAGAGCAAUCUGUGUGACUGCGUACCUUUUGUAUAAUGGGUCAGCGACUUAUAUUCUGUAGCAAGGUUAACCGAAUAGGGGAGCCGAAGGGAAACCGAGUCUUAACCGGGCGUUAAGUUGCAGGGUAUAGACCCGAAACCCGGUGAUCUAGCCAUGGGCAGGUUGAAGGUUGGGUAACACUAACUGGAGGACCGAACCGACUAAUGUUGAAAAAUUAGCGGAUGACUUGUGGCUGGGGGUGAAAGGCCAAUCAAACCGGGAGAUAGCUGGUUCUCCCCGAAAGCUAUUUAGGUAGCGCCUCGUGAAUUCAUCUCCGGGGGUAGAGCACUGUUUCGGCAAGGGGGUCAUCCCGACUUACCAACCCGAUGCAAACUGCGAAUACCGGAGAAUGUUAUCACGGGAGACACACGGCGGGUGCUAACGUCCGUCGUGAAGAGGGAAACAACCCAGACCGCCAGCUAAGGUCCCAAAGUCAUGGUUAAGUGGGAAACGAUGUGGGAAGGCCCAGACAGCCAGGAUGUUGGCUUAGAAGCAGCCAUCAUUUAAAGAAAGCGUAAUAGCUCACUGGUCGAGUCGGCCUGCGCGGAAGAUGUAACGGGGCUAAACCAUGCACCGAAGCUGCGGCAGCGACACUGUGUGUUGUUGGGUAGGGGAGCGUUCUGUAAGCCUGUGAAGGUGUGCUGUGAGGCAUGCUGGAGGUAUCAGAAGUGCGAAUGCUGACAUAAGUAACGAUAAAGCGGGUGAAAAGCCCGCUCGCCGGAAGACCAAGGGUUCCUGUCCAACGUUAAUCGGGGCAGGGUGAGUCGACCCCUAAGGCGAGGCCGAAAGGCGUAGUCGAUGGGAAACAGGUUAAUAUUCCUGUACUUGGUGUUACUGCGAAGGGGGGACGGAGAAGGCUAUGUUGGCCGGGCGACGGUUGUCCCGGUUUAAGCGUGUAGGCUGGUUUUCCAGGCAAAUCCGGAAAAUCAAGGCUGAGGCGUGAUGACGAGGCACUACGGUGCUGAAGCAACAAAUGCCCUGCUUCCAGGAAAAGCCUCUAAGCAUCAGGUAACAUCAAAUCGUACCCCAAACCGACACAGGUGGUCAGGUAGAGAAUACCAAGGCGCUUGAGAGAACUCGGGUGAAGGAACUAGGCAAAAUGGUGCCGUAACUUCGGGAGAAGGCACGCUGAUAUGUAGGUGAAGUCCCUCGCGGAUGGAGCUGAAAUCAGUCGAAGAUACCAGCUGGCUGCAACUGUUUAUUAAAAACACAGCACUGUGCAAACACGAAAGUGGACGUAUACGGUGUGACGCCUGCCCGGUGCCGGAAGGUUAAUUGAUGGGGUCAGCGCAAGCGAAGCUCUUGAUCGAAGCCCCGGUAAACGGCGGCCGUAACUAUAACGGUCCUAAGGUAGCGAAAUUCCUUGUCGGGUAAGUUCCGACCUGCACGAAUGGCGUAAUGAUGGCCAGGCUGUCUCCACCCGAGACUCAGUGAAAUUGAACUCGCUGUGAAGAUGCAGUGUACCCGCGGCAAGACGGAAAGACCCCGUGAACCUUUACUAUAGCUUGACACUGAACAUUGAGCCUUGAUGUGUAGGAUAGGUGGGAGGCUUUGAAGUGUGGACGCCAGUCUGCAUGGAGCCGACCUUGAAAUACCACCCUUUAAUGUUUGAUGUUCUAACGUGGACCCGUGAUCCGGGUUGCGGACAGUGUCUGGUGGGUAGUUUGACUGGGGCGGUCUCCUCCUAAAGAGUAACGGAGGAGCACGAAGGUUGGCUAAUCCUGGUCGGACAUCAGGAGGUUAGUGCAAUGGCAUAAGCCAGCUUGACUGCGAGCGUGACGGCGCGAGCAGGUGCGAAAGCAGGUCAUAGUGAUCCGGUGGUUCUGAAUGGAAGGGCCAUCGCUCAACGGAUAAAAGGUACUCCGGGGAUAACAGGCUGAUACCGCCCAAGAGUUCAUAUCGACGGCGGUGUUUGGCACCUCGAUGUCGGCUCAUCACAUCCUGGGGCUGAAGUAGGUCCCAAGGGUAUGGCUGUUCGCCAUUUAAAGUGGUACGCGAGCUGGGUUUAGAACGUCGUGAGACAGUUCGGUCCCUAUCUGCCGUGGGCGCUGGAGAACUGAGGGGGGCUGCUCCUAGUACGAGAGGACCGGAGUGGACGCAUCACUGGUGUUCGGGUUGUCAUGCCAAUGGCACUGCCCGGUAGCUAAAUGCGGAAGAGAUAAGUGCUGAAAGCAUCUAAGCACGAAACUUGCCCCGAGAUGAGUUCUCCCUGACCCUUUAAGGGUCCUGAAGGAACGUUGAAGACGACGACGUUGAUAGGCCGGGUGUGUAAGCGCAGCGAUGCGUUGAGCUAACCGGUACUAAUGAACCGUGAGGCUUAACCUUACAACGCCGAAGGUGUUU
rnacentral:rRNA from 1 species